rnacentral:rRNA from 1 species
UACAGAGGGGGCAAGCGUUGUUCGGAAUUACUGGGCGUAAAGGGCGCGUAGGCGGCCUUCUAAGUCGAACGUGAAAUCCCCGGGCUCAACCCGGGAACUGCGUCCGAUACUGGAAGGCUUGAAUCCGGGAGAGGGAUGCGGGAAUUCCAGGUGUAGCGGUGAAAUGCGCAGAUAUCAGGAGGAACACCAAUGGCGAAGGGCAGCACUCUGGGACGUGACUGACGCUGAGACGCGAAAGCGUGGGGAGCAAACAGG